rnacentral:rRNA from 1 species
CCUACGGGAGGCAGCAGUGAGGAAUAUUGGUCAAUGGACGCAAGUCUGAACCAGCCAUGCCGCGUGCAGGAAGACGGCUCUAUGAGUUGUAAACUGCUUUUGUACGAGGGUAAACGCAGAUACGCGUAUCUGUCUGAAAGUAUCGUACGAAUAAGGAUCGGCUAACUCCGUGCCAGCAGCCGCGGUAAUACGGAGGAUUCAAGCGUUAUCCGGAUUUAGUGGGUUUAAAGGGUGCGUAGGCGGUCGGAUAAGUUAGAGGUGAAAUCCCGAGGCUCAACUUCGGAAUUGACUCUGAUACUGUUCGGCUAGAGAGUAGUUGCGGUAGGCGGAAUGUAUGGUGUAGCGGUGAAAUGUUUAGAGAUCAUACAGAACACCGAUUGCGAAGGCAGCUUACCAAGCUACUUCUGACGUUGAGGCACGAAAGCGUGGGGAGCAAACAGGAUUAGAUACCCGGGUAGUC